AUGGAUUGGUGCCUUCGGGAACUCUGACACAGGUGCUGCAUGGCUGUCGUCAGCUCGUGUCGUGGGAUCGUUGGGUUAAGUCCCGUAACGAGCGCAACCCUUGUCCUUAGUUACCAGCACGUUAUGGUGGGCACUCUAAGGAGACUGCCGGUGGACAAACCGGAGGAAGGUGGGAUGACGUCAAGUCAUCAUGGCCCUUACGGCCUGGGCUACACACGUGCUACAAUGGUCGGUACAAAGGGUUGCCAAGCCGCGAGGUGGAGCUAAUACCCAUAAAACCGAUCGUAGUCCGGAUCGCAGUCUGCAACUCGACUGCGUGAAGUCGGAAUCGCUAGUAAUCGUGAAUCAGAAUGUCACGGUGAAUACGUUCCCGGGCCUU
rnacentral:rRNA from 1 species